UGAUAUUUGCUUUGGUUGUACCUUAUGGUUGUCUUUUGUGGCACCACCAGAUGAUGCUUUGAUUUUUACUGUAAAUGAAAUGCAGCCCCAUGGCUCAGGAGAAAAAGCACGACAUCCAUUAAUCCAAAUAUCACUUUUUGAAGUUCAGCUCCUUCACCGCACGUUCAUUUGUCUGUUGGCAGGAUACUGAACCAUAAAUUGACCCUGAAAGCUUGGCUAUCAUGGUUUGAGUGUGUUCGAACGAGAUUAGAUCCAGCUGGGCAGGUUGGCACUUGUAAAGCAGUGUCUGGCAUCAGGGUCUGAGUGUGUGUGUGUGUGUGUGUGUGUGUUUGUGUGUGUGUAAAAUAGUGGAUUUGACAUGUAGCAGGGAGUGCUUUGAGUGGUCUAAAAUUGUCAUGGAAAUACAGGUUUAGAGAGCUUACUGAAUUUGGUAUCAGACAUUUUUAGUUGGGCAGCAACUUAAAUUUUAGAUCCUCAGUCAUAAAGCAGCAUAUGUGUGUUUUCCUGACUGUGCCUUACUAAGGUGGUGAAUGCAUUAGAUGUUACAGCUGCUUUACAUCAGUAUGUUUCCUCCGUUUGUCAGCUUGUUGGCGUGAUGACAUUGGAUUUUCUACUCUCUGACAGCUCAUUCCCUUUGUCUUUAUAGAAACCUGCAGUAAAGAGACAAGGGUAUGAAUGCCAGAUAGAUGUAUGGAUGUUCUCCACUCCUAUAUUGAUCUCUUUUCACAGAUUCAACAUUGAAAAUGUAGAACCUGUACACAGAGGACUGGGUUUUCUGCUCAGAAAGUGUUCUGGUGUCUUUAAAGAUUUACACUUACUUAUAAUCCGAACAUAUUUUGUGCCUGUCUCCAAAAGUGGUCAAUCAGAUCUUAUAGAUAUGAUUAUUUCGUCAUCUCAGUUUGCAUGAACCUUGCAUCAGCAUUGUAUCUCAGUGGUGUUAUUUUAUAGCCUGGAGCUGUGGGUUCUGUCAGUGAUUUAUUUUUGGGCUUUUGAAAUCACCUGUUCAGGAGCAAAAGCCUCUCACAUGUUUGUAAUCAUGUUCAGGCAUGAUAGAGCGUUACUUAAGCCUGACUUGCUAUAUCUGCACAGACUGUACGCUGCAGCAUAGAAAACAUAUGCCCUACAUUUGCACAGCCUCACAUAUGCACUUGUGUCGGAACAAUGCAGUCUGCAGGUGCUGUAAUUGGUCCACUGAGGAUCACCUGUAUUUAUGACAUCCCAGGUAUCGCCAUACAUCAGCAAUAUUUAACACCUCUGCAGAUUAGUGAUGGGAAUUACAGCUGUUUUUCGUGAGCCGGAUCAUUCGGCUCAGCUUACCAAGAGGAGCUGGUUCUUUUAGCUCCCAAACGGCUCUUCAUUUUACCACUUAUACAUUUUCUAAUUCAGACAAAUUUAGCAUUAUUUGGCUUAUGAUAUGUACGUUUGUGUACUCAUACCUCUUAAAUGAUUCAAUACAUCCUGUUUUACCGAAGUAUUCACAGGUAAAAAUAACAUUUUCUAAUAUCAGUAAAUUGCUGUAGCCAAUUGCUUUCAUUGCAUUUACAGACCCUUGUAACUCUCUGAAACCACUCAAUGAAUGCACUGACUUGCUUGUAGAACCACUCUGUUACACAAAACAGAUAGAAAUCCCGUCAUUCUGCCUUAUAGGUUCUUUCUACAGUCUCUACAGGGGGGAAACGGCUCACAGACGGGAGCUCUUUGAACCGGAUCGUUCACGACUGACACAUCACUACCCCAAUAUCUUUUAUUCUUCACUCUGAGUCGGGGUGUGAUCAGCUGCCUCUCUGUAUUCAUCAGCUACAGCAAGAUUCAGUUGCUAUGGUUACCUAUACACAAACAAGCAGAGGAUGAACACAAGCAGAAACUCCCAGUAAGACUAGCAUAGAAAUCACACCACUGUCCAGUGUUUAGGAGGUGUAUUGCUGAGUCACAAGGACACUUUGAGACACAGGUAUGUAGUUUUCGCCUUUAGGUUUGCUAUAACAGUUUACCAUCAAUGCAGGAGCAAUACAGCAGAGAGUGGGGUUAAACUUUCCUGCUUUAACAACCCAUCUGUUGUCAGGAAGCACAGGGGAGACUUAUUUAUCUGCUCCGGGCCUGAAGUCAGAGCUAAGCCUCACUCACUUGACUUGUCAGCAGCAGGCAGUAAGCAGCGCACAGGAGUCCAGCUUGAGUCUCGAGGAGUUUCAGGCUGUAUUAUGUUUGCACAAUCUUCACUGUUCAUUUAAACACGUCUGAUAAUAUCUAGCAUUAACUCCAGCUCGGCUCUCAUGCUGAAGCGGCCCAUCAGCUUCCUCCACACUCUGCAAAGUUUGUUGUGAUUUGGUGAAUAAGAAUUUUUGAUUGAUUAAAAUAUAACUCCAGCUUUACUUACCAUGUAUACUAAUCAGGUCCUAUGUUUCAUUUGGAAAUGUCAUUCUCCUGUAGGGCUGGGUGAUAUGACCUCAAAUCAAUAUCACGAUAUAUUGAGCAGUUCACCAUGAUAAUGAUAAAUGGACGAUAACUACUCCACAAACUGCUCACCCCCUCCCACAUUAACUUCAUCUACUUCAGCCGCUACAACUUUUGAACCGUCCUCCAUCUCCUCACCUGUUUUUCCUUCUUUGUUAAGGACUGGAUGGGGUGGAGUCUCGUCUCUGAUGUAGGACAGCGUCUUAAAGGGACAUGAGAACAUAGCCUACCUACAUGGAUCCAAAACCAACUUUAAUUUCUUAUUUUUUUGACACCGAAUGUACCGAUGGUCAAAAUGAUGUUGGUUAUUGUCGUAAAUUUCUGUGUCGGUAAAUUUUCAGUUUAUCAGCCUAUUCUCUUGUAUGUUUAUAUUCUGGUUUUAUUUGCAUAUGUGCAUCUAAGGUUAACUUUUAUCAUUUCCUAAUAUUUGCUUGAUUCACUUACAUAGAUUUUUAUUCAAAUAUGUUCUGUCACUUUAACUCUGCCUUGACAUUUCAAGCUGUUGAGCCUUGGCAAUGUACAGGAAUGUACAGACAUACAGCCAAGGUAGAAAACUGUUUCUGUGCUGUUGAGAACCUUUCAUAAUAGCAUCAUCUUGCUUUGUGUCAAUAGGAGGUACUUUUUAUUCUGAACUGAUAAUAGAUAAUGUCGUAAUGAAAAAAAAAAAUCUGUUUGUUUGUAAAGAAACAACACAGGUGAGCCACUCUUACAACAAAGGAGGAAGAGGACUGUAACUGUGUUUUCAGUCGGCAUAUAAGGGAUGAAACUUAUCCUAGAGGUCACACUUUGAAACAACAGCCCUCCAGAUUUGAUGUUUGCAAGUACAAUAUAUGAGUGUUUAUGCUGCAGCCUGCAUGGAUCUGGAAAAAACACACACUAAAAAUGCACACACUUAUAAAAGCACCCUGCUAUUUCUAUUCCCUGCAUGGACGCUCGCAGAUACACAAAAUGAACAUGCACCUGAUUCUAUUACCUACAGCAUCUCUUUGUUACGUUUGAUCUCUUCUUGGAGUCACACUUCAAUAUUUCCACACAGGUGUAUAAAAUUGCAAAGACCUUUCUGACUAGUCACCAGAUAAUUUCCUCAAGUCUGUAGCAGACAGAAACUGAAGGACUUUGCAGUAAUAACUGAUGAACGUGCGGCCUUCUGAAAGCUACCUCUGAGUUUAAUAUAUUCCCAAGAAAAACUCCAGAAUCCCAAGUGAGGCGAGUGUGGUGGGUCGCGGGCAGGCAGGCGUUGAGAAAUGCUGCAAGUAUUGGCUGCCUCUAUAUUAUUUUGGGAAAUAUAAGCGUGCUUGCUCUAUUGCAUUUGAAUUGCCUCCAACUCACCUGUGCAUAGCAUUCUCCUGGAGGGAAUAACUGUUUAUACUCACACCAUGUGUGGUGUUUUCCCCCCCUCACUGUAAUACAAUAAAUUUAUAUUGAGACAAUACAGAGAAGGCCUUUUCUCUUUCUAGUCUAGGAGCUUUUAUUUUGACUGAGAUGACAGUGAAGGAGGAGAUUAAAACCUUGUUACGGUGUCAAACAUCAGUGAGGCUUCAGACAGCUUUGUGGCUGCAAAUGUAAAUCAAACAUCCCUGCAGAUUUGAACUCUCACAGUUCGCCGUCUUUAUGGCACAAUAGGUUGUGGCUUUUUUCUGUCUUCCUGUGCCAGUACAAGUGCUUCACCUCAGGGUAGUAAAAAAACAAUUUCGAGUCACUGUAAGCACAAUAUUAAGGCCUUCACCUGGAGCCGACGGGGUGUGUGGUGAAACACGCAGCCCAUUAUGCCUACAAACUGAAAUACACUUUUUUAACAAGAGGCUUGAGUUUAGUGUGUAUCUGUUUGACUGUCUGCAAUUUCAGUAAAGAGUAUAUACUGUAUAUUCAUGGAUACAGACAGGAACUGCAGAGAAGAACACUCAUUAAUACCAGUUUUUGCUCAAGGUGGACCUUCAGGGACCGGCCAGUCUACAACAUUUCUUAAGAAUGCUCUCUGAAAUAAAUGUUUUUAAUCAAGUGGUGACUAUUAAAACACUUAAUGGACAUUUUUAUCAAUUUUAUUUCCUGUAACUCUUCUAGAACGGCAAUUCCAGUGUCGCUCCAAGAGAUAGAUGCACAAAACUUAAGAAAAAGACAUGAAGAUAGACGGAUGACAGAGAAAUGAAAAUAUUUGGCUACUAAUAGUGCAAGAUGAGAAACAGGAGGUGUUUUCAGGAGACUGGGCUAAUGCUAGGUGCUAUGUGAUACUUAAAUACCGAUAAAGUUGUGUGCUGGUGUUUGGUUAAUUUGACCAAAGUCAUGUGUGAUAAGAAAAUCAGUGAUGUCAACCUGUGAGGAUGACCCGAGGCUGGUGGUCCUAACUCUGCUGGUGUUUGCCAAACAGAGGGGACCAAUUUGGCAAUGUUUGUUCCUAUAAGGCUGUCAAAACUGAUGCAUUAAUCACAAUGUGAUUAAGGUCCAAACUUUAUAUGUCCCUCUUGGCACGCCGUAGUCAAGCCCAUGCUUGCGCUGUAGCUGCCGUUGUGGUAAAAAAAAACACACACAAUUGCACUUUUGACAAACACAUUUCACUUACAGAAAACUUCCAGACAGCUGACACCUCAAAAGUAUCAGCAUGUAUUUAAUAUCAAAACAUCACCAGAGCUAACCAUACAAUGAAAACCACAUCACAGUCCACAUGACACUGUUUCGGAUUGUGAAAAUCACAUAACCCAGAUCUUCCUAAGGAAAAUAUGUCAAUACCAGUCAUACCAAACCAGCUAAAAUGGAACUUCUGAAAAGUGCAAAUACAUUAACUCGGAUCAUCAAGCCCUCAAAAUGAUCUUGGAUCAACUGUACACCAUUUUAACACUGACUGGACAUUUUGUACAUAUACACUCCUGCAUAUUUAUUGAUACAGUAUAAUAUUAAAUAUAGUGUAAUCAUAACAAAAACAAAUAAAAAAUAACAACAAUAAAUUAAUGUCUGAGUCGUUGUUUUAAACCACACCAGUGCUGCAGUGCUGCAUUUAUUUGAACUACAACAUGUAAUUUUCUUUCUAGCCAGGACCAGAAGGAGAGUACAAACAGAUGCUUUAGGCUUGGGUUAGUUAUAUUCUUACCUAAGUGUUGGAUAGCUGGUAUUCCCCAGUUGAGACACUUCUUAAAAAAGGGUGUUGAUGGAAAUCACUGAACGUGCAGCAUAUUGACACCAGCGUUUGAGUGAUAUCUCACUAAAUUAUUCAUCACAGCACCUCUCCAACUGUUUUUACUGUAUUUACACCAGAGAGGACCUGUUUUAUUUGGAACAGGAUUUUUAUCACAAACAGGCUUUUAGUCCUAAUUUCUGUUGAAUGAAAAUUCAAAAGCUCAAAAGCAAACCUCCAUGUUUACCCGAUGUCCCUUUUAGUGUGGCGUAAUGUUCGUUUAUAAAGCGAUGUUACAUCAACAGAGCCGGUUUAACUCCUCAGUCUGCUGACAGAGGUAGACUCUAUGUAAUGGACAGAAGAUUUUUCACGGAAAACAAAUGCAGUUCUUCCAACACACGGUCCAAAAAGAUGGACGACAUGACAGCUCCUUAAAGUGAAGGCAACACAUGGCGACUACCCUCUGGUGACUAUUUACAGUACAGGUCAUGAGCAAUGCCUCCUCGAUGUUAAUAUAUGGGAUAUGGGCCAAAAUCGUGUAAUAUAAUCCAGCUGAUUGGUGCCAGAUGGUCCAUUUUUCCAAGAAGUGUAGAUCCAGUCUCUUAUUUGGUGCUAAAAUGGCAAAGAUACACAGUGUUCUGCAUGAAAUGAAAGCUUCAUUUGCUUCAAGCAGAUUUUUCCUGUAUAUUUGUGUAGAGACUAAAAAGUAUUCUACCUACAUUAUCAAAGUUAGCUCAUAUGUGAUAUAUUUGCUAACUUUACAAAGUUGCAUUUUUCUCCCAUGUUUGGUUGGCGUACUUCAAAAAACAUACUCAAACUCAUGUGGCUUUUAACCUUUUUAUUUUACAGUAAAAUACUGUCAGUCAUCUAGUUAAGGAAAUGCCAAAGCCUCAGGGAUAAGAUAGCUCUGUAGUGAAAAAACAAUCUCAGAGUAUCUCAAAAUUUAAUUUAAAUCAGUGUUUUUGGACCAUGAGCUUAGUUUAAAAUGCAACAAAACAAAUUUUGAAUACAUACGACUGUAGUUUGCUUUCAUCUGUGUGAAAUGGCUUUUGAGCUAGCUUACUGUAUUUGCUCAACAAUGAUGAUGCCAUGGUUAAACCAAACACAUUCGUACCUUCAGAGCGACAAGUUGACCUCACAAGUGUGUCUUUAGACCGUGAAGGAGAACCUGGAGAAAACCUACUAAUGGGGAACAGGAAGCAAACACCUAACAGAAAGGCAACAGCUCCCUGUAGCUCAAGUAUAGAGAUGCAGGGAAAAAGAAAGAAAUUUCAACAAGGUGAAAUUAUUCGCUGAGCACCACUCCUCUGUGACACUUGUCGGAGCUCAUACCUGCUCAUAGAAGUGUUAAUAUCCCACAUUUAACAGACCUUCAGCUGCAGUGGGGACUUGGGUUUAGAGUGGAAAAUAUCCAAUGUGUAAAAGUCAGUGCUCAAGUUGUUGGAUGACACAGAGGAGUGGAGGUUCAUCCAAAGAGGGGAGGCUUUGUUUUUUGCUGUGAGGGAUGAAUUUGGCCUUUCAGAUUCAUGUCCAAAACAGAACAAAGUCAGUAAUUUGAUACUGUAAAAUACAUGUAGGCAUGAAAAACUGAAGAUGUUUUUUCUAUGACUUGAAUCAAUUUAGGUGGGGUAGGCAGGACCUGAGGUAGAGCCAGUUUUUGGGAGAAAUCUUGAAUGUAAACUCUACCCCUCCCAACCAGUUUUCCCCUCAGCUCCUCCUCUCCCCUCCCUCUCUGCUCCAGCAAGCCCCGCCCACAAACAGACACUCCUGCUCGCUCGUAUCGUUCCAAUUAAAUUCAGAUAUAAAAUACUUCAGAUAAUUACAAAUGGAGCCCAAUCAACGUGAAAGUAAGAAGCAUUGGUGCUACUGUAGAUGCCAACAGACUACCAGCAAACACAAUGUUUGCAGGACUUCUACAACUAGGAUAAAGUGACAUAGUCCAGGACCCGAGGUCAACAGUUUAGCGACGCUACAACACGCAGCAGGUCCCGUUUGACAAGGAACACUUCUGUUACAGACGCUUGGCUUACUUUGUUAGAGCGGUUUACCUGUCCAGCAGAAAGGUUACAGGGUUAGUAAGAUCCCGAAUCCCCCAUCGUUUAUCCCUAACUGAUGUUGACCCGGCUUUUUAGCUCUUGUCCGGUCUACCUCCUUUUUAAGCGCCCGCCAGAGUCUCUGCUAUUUACUUCGUUUUCUUGCUUGUGUUGGCAGUCAUGGCCAAAGGAGGAUUCUGACAAUUUUCCGUUUUUUCUGGUUGGUUUCUACUGUCUGAUAUUGUAGCACGCUAGCUUUGUUUGGGCUCCUGAACAACAUUGGGGAGCAGCGUCUGCCUCACAACCAAUCAGGUUGGGGGAGGCGGGGAAUGGCUUUGUUUACAGUCAGAGAGAGCGGGCCGCUCAAAAAAUUGUAAAUAUUGACUACACAGACAUAAGAGAACACAGCGAUAUUGUUAUAUUACCAAAUGUCAUCAAUGACUAAUAGCUAUUGACUGAUAUUCAAAGCAUUUUUUGAUAUACACCACAAAAAAAAAUGCUUCUUAAACGGAAUCCUGCCUACCCCACCUUUAAUACCCUUUUAUCACAACACAUUACCAGAAAUGCAAAUAGAUAAGUGAAGUUAUCUGUUACAUGCGUUGUAUGAAGAUCAGUGUUGAAAACAGUCCCUGAUAUCAGACAUGCAGAGUCCUCUGACUCUCAUCUUUAAGAUACAAGGACUUAUUUUGGUGCACAGCUGGUGUUUUCCGCCUCUGAUCCUCAUCUAGUCUCUGGUUCAUGAUGUCAGGCACUACUGCCACUUUUCUCUGCAGGGCUGCUCUGUCGUUCCUUUUUUCCUUUUUAUUUUCUCACAGUUGGAUCAGAUAACUUCAGGUGUUAAAUGGUUUUAAUUUAAUUGCCUAUUCAUGGACUAAUGCACAUUGUUUAUAUAGUAAUAUUAGUAAUCUGAAGUCAGCUGUUGCCUAGCAAUGGCAGCUGUAAGCCCGAGAUAACAGACAAGCGCUGGAGGAACUGACAAGGGGAGGAAUUUUGAGAAAGUAAUGACUUGAAAAAUGUUUGUUUUGAAAAGUGGAGAUGCUCUCAUUAUUUUGAAUUACCUUCACAGCAGGACUAAAAUAAACCAAACUGUCCUCUGCUGUCAGGCCAACGAGAAGACUGCAGGUUAAUAAGCCACUCAGAAACUUCUUCAGUGUCUCUCUUAGUGCUUAACGUCAUGAUAAUGAAAUCAGGCUCAGUCCAGGUCAGUUUUAUUGGUCUUAUGAGGCCUAACGCUGGGUUAGAGGCAAUAUUCAACAUACUGGAUGAGAUAACUGAUCAUUUCUGAAUUAAAUCCAGUCAAAGGGGUUGAAGUAAGAAGAAAUAAAAUAAUAAAGUAUGAUAUUUCAAAGCAAGUUUAAGAGUAAGAGGAUUGUAUUUGGGAAAAGUAUAACAUAGCCAGUCUUCAUACUGUAGCAGCUGACGGACAGCGAGCAGAUAUGGGUUGUGUGUCGUAAAGAGUUAAUGAGCUGAGGUAAAACUGUCCCAGAGUCAGUCUGUAAGUGAAGCCGGGCUCCUGUAUCUCAUGGAGAGACAGUAAAGACAACAUAAAGCUGAGUUUCUAAAUGUUGAUAAAAGGAGACGAAGGCUGCUGAGUGAGGGACAAAUGAACAAAACAGAUGAAGUAAUCAGACGCUAUCUGAGGAUGAGGAACAAAAGGUCAAAUUACAGAAUAAAAAACAGUAAUGGGUUGUUAUUUUUAGGUCUCCUGAUCAAGAGUUAAAAAUAAGCUGAAUAAUUUAGCGUCUUUUAUGCAGGUUUAAUCAGUAAUUAGUAAAACAAAUCCUAUGUCUUUGAUUUCUGAGUUAGUGUUAUGUAAUCAGAAUUUCAAAUGAAUGUCAAAAAUGUGAUUAUUCUGCAUAUGAAGAGUUUAAUGUCCAAAUUAACAGUAAAAAACAGUUUGUCCUACUGUGUUUAUGCACAAUCUUGGCUGUUUUACUUACCUUACUAUCACUGAUUUAUUUUCGACGAUGUUGAUGAUAUGAAAACCCUGUAACUCUGUCAGACAUGUUGUUGUUGUUGUUGUUGUUGUUGUUGUUGUGUGUCGGUCUUCUCCAGGGGUUGCCCCUUGUCACUGAUUCGGUUUGCGCUUGAUUAAGAUGCGUCCCAGAUGCCUCCCUUUGGAAGGGCUCCAGGCACAUCCAACUGAAAGGGAACCUCAGGGUAGGCCCAGGGCUCACUGGAGGGAUUACCUAUCCCAGGAAUGCCUUCGGAUGAGGGAGAAGGAGCUGAGAAGUGCUGCUGGAGAGAGAGAGAGAGAUAUGGGUGGACUUGCUUGGACUGCUGCCCCAGAACCCAAUCCCAGAUAGAAAAUGAAUAAAUGGAUGGAUGGAUGGAUGGAUGGAAUCCUUCCUCCAGACUACCAUAAGUCUCUGAAAACUCUGUAACCUCCCCUGCUGGUACCAGCUUUAACUUUUAUGCCAUGGCUCGGCUCUGGUCAACGUCAGGCUAGGCAUCCAUAGUGUUCAAGUAAAUCAUUGGUAACACACACAAAGAUCAAGAUUAUCUGCAAACUCUGAAUGUGGUUUAGUUGUCAGCAUCUCUAUAAAGUUUCCUUAGCGAACUUUGUCAGACUGAAGUUGAAGUCAGAGAACAAGACAGCAGUAAUUAAAGGCAUGGUUGACGAUCUAAGAAGCAGUUGAAAAAAACUGCGUCCCACCCCCCCACACACACACACAAACCUUUCCCCUCUGUGCUCCACGAUAACUCCCCCCUGAAACCUGAAUCGCCCUCCCCACGACACACCCCCUCUGGCAGAGCAGGAAGCCGUCCAGCAGAAGAUGCUACGCUAGCUUCAAAUAGGACUCACCAUGUUGGAUUGCUAGUGACUAGCGGCAGUAAACGCCAGCUCUGCUAGCGAGCACCGUCUGCAGCUGCCUGGACAGCUGUUGACAUUGCAGAGGCUAAUAAGAGUUAUAAGAGUUAUUUAUGUAACAUGUGCCACGAUAAAAGGUGAUAAAAAUUACCUGUUCAACAAAAACUGUCUCAGCGUCUGUUUUCAGGCCCAAAUCCUGGCGGAGCUUCCGACCACUCGAAGGAUGACCCGAUGUUUAUUCGAGUUAGAUUCCUCGCUUGGUCACAUUUCCUCUUCUUCUGCCGGCUUGCGUUUUCUUCCCACUUUUUCCGGUGGGGCUUUUUGGGUCCUUCUCCGUCACAGCUCCUGUAGCUUAGUUGCUACGCUACUUUUAGCCGCUCAGAGCUCCGAGGAGGGCCGGGAGAGUGGGAGGGGACGAAUCGGAACUACGGGAGAGGGGUGUGUUGAAUACAGCGAGGUGAUUGGAUGGAGAGGCGGAGCAGGAGAUUGACCAAUAAGAGCUGUCAGGGAUGGCUCCCAUUGGUCAAUGAUUUAGCAGACCUGCGCCUGCCAGGGUGAAUGGAUUUAUUCCAUUCUUUUUUCUCUUCAAAUUGUGGAGAUCGCACUAUAGGACCAUGAUCGCCAUAUAAACAAGGUUCAUAGUAAUUACCAAUCUCUCUAAUUGUCAACCAUGCCUUUAAGUUUAUGAAUGGUUAAUACUCAGAUGAACAAAAACUGUAAAUCCAGGAGGUGUUGUACUGAAUGUCAAGUAUUGGCUGAUGGGUGUAUCCAGGUAUGUAAAGGUUUCUUCUCUUUGUGAUGUGCUGCCAUGAAGCUUCCAGACCUUGACUCCCUGAAGUUGAGGAAUCAACUCCUGGCCUUGCUUUAACUGUGUGAGAGUACACUCUAAAGCGGCGUCACUGAAAUGCAAGUAUGGCUGCGGAAAAAUUAAUUUCGCAAUCCCAGCUUUCACCAUUCUUUUCCAACCGAGCAAAGUCAAUUCACAGAUCAGGUUUUCAAUGGUAGACUCUCCAGAGACCUUGGGUUUGAAGUGUUUUCUGUAUUUCUGUCGCUGGGGUCAAGAGUAAACUUUUAAACAAGUCAGCGAGGUUAUGUUGUGCUGCUAUUGUGAACAUCUCUAACCUUAGGCUUUGGAAAGGAAGCGCUUCUCUUUUCCCAUUAACCAAAGCAAACAUCCUUCUUUAAACCUGAAUAAAUUGUUGUUAAAAGACAAUUAAUGUUUACUUUUUUUGUCUAAAUGCUGAGUGACGCACAGAGCUGAUUAAACACAUUCUUGUCUGACAGAUUUACAGAUAUAAAGGGGGUGAAACCAGAGGCAGAAAAACAGCGCUGUCUCAGAGAAGAGUGUUCGUGUGAUGGUGACCUGCAUUCAUAGGUCAGAGCAGAAGCAGAGGAGGAUUUUGGGACCAGAUUGGAUUAAGUUUGAGUUUCAGUGACAAACAGCAGCUCAUGCAGCUGCGGGCAGUAUCCCAGAGGGCAGACAGAGAGAAGCUCUGUUAGUACAAGUACGUGACACCAAGCUGUGACAUAUAAAUCUAUACACUGACAUUAUAUAGUGUCAGGCUCGCAUUUUCCUCGCCUUUUUAUUUUCAUGUGACAUCUAUAAUCUGCGUGUUUUUUCAUCAGCUGUCACCUGGGGGCUGGCUCUGAGUGGCAUCCUGCAGGAGAGGACCUGAGGGUGACAGGUUAGAUCUCAGAAAUACUCUGAAGGCUGUGAAUUUAAUGUUUUAUUCAGGUGUUGUGAUACGACAUGCUGUUCUCUUAGCAUGUAUGGGAGUCGUGUGAAGUGUGGGCAUGGUGUUUGCUCGCCUUGAAUCAGGUUUAAAGGAAUCAUUUAAAGGGCAACAAGCUCAAAGAAAUUCUUCUCAGAAAGGUCGUCAUCUGCUGUAAUCAUCUGCCCACUAACUAGACGAGGAGUUUCAACCAUGAUGCAGAUUUGUGUGAGGCUACAAUCAGCACUUAGCAUUGAUGCAGUGAGGCUAUGCUAAUGUUUGUAUGUUCACAAUCAAAAAACAAAAUCUUUCCAUGCAAGAUGUGUGGAUUUAAAGGUGGGGUAGGCAUGAUCCCGUUAAAGAAACAAAUUUUUUGUGGUGUUUAUACAAAAAAGCUUUUAAUAUCAGUCAAUAGCUAUUAGUUAUUGAUAACAUUUGGGAACAUCACAGUAGCGCUGUGUUCUCUUAUGUCUGUAUAGUCAACAUUUAAAAAUUUUUGAGUGGCCCGUUCUUUCUGAAUGUAAACAAAGCCAUUCCCCGCCUCCACCUCCCUGUUUGGUUGUGAGGCAGAUGCUGCUUCCUCGUGCUGUUGGACACGCUCCACAUCCUCCAAUAACAUUCAGGAGCCCAAACAAAGUUAGCGUGCUACAAUAUCAGACAGUAGAAACCAACCAGAAAGUACAGAAAAAACAAGCAAGACAAUGAAGUGAAUACCAGAGACUCUGGCGGAAUAACAGGCGCUUAAAAAGGAGGUAGACCGGACAAGAGCUAAAAAGCCGGGUCAACAUUUGCAUAAACGAUGGGGGACGCCUUAGGAUCUUACGGAGCCUGUAACCUGUCUGCUGGACAGGUAAACCGCUUUAACAAAGUAAGCCAAGUGUCUGUAACAAAAGUGUUUCUUGUCAAACGGGACCUGCUGCGUGUUGUAGCGCCGCUAAACUGUUGACCUCGGGUCCUGGACUAUGUCACUUUAUCCUAGCUGUGGACGUCCUACAAACAUUGUGUUUGCUGGUAGUCUGUUGGCAUCUACAGUAGCACCAAUGCUUCUUACUUUCACUUUGGUCCCGUUUGUAAUCAUCUGAAGUAUUUAUCUGCAUUAUAUCUGAAUUUAAUUGGAACGAUACGAGCGAGCAGGAGCGUCUGUUUGUGGGCGGGGCUUGCUGGAGCAGAGAGGGAGGGGAGAGGAGGAGCUGAGGGGAAAACUUGUUAGGAGGGAUAGAGUUUACAUUCAAGAUUUCUCCCAAAAACUGGUACUUCCUCAGAUCCUGCUGACCCCACCUUCAACUGAUUGAAUUUUCCAUAUUUUGGUCAAAACCCCUUUUUUACAGGCGCUGUUUGGAGUUUAAAAUAGUCUCCUUAUUUCUUUUAGUGAGUGAGAAACUUCACAACCUAGGCUUUGCAAAGUAAAAGAGCAAAUUGUGUACAAACAGCAUCCAAAGUUCAUACCGUGAGGGAAUGCUUCACUACUUUUUGAUUUGGAGCCGAUUAAUUGGGUCGAUUAUGAAAGAAAACUUUCUCUAAAACUGAAGGAUCAUCUGAUGAAAUCACUCAACCCCUCAAAUCAUCAGAAGUCGGCAAUCAUGAGAAAUUAACAAUCAAACACAAGAAAUCUUUCUCAACAAACCUCCCUGCACCCAGAGUCUGCGUUCCUUCAGAGGAAAGUUUGCAGAGAAAAGUAUCUGUGUUACUUUUUCAAACAGAUGUACCUGUUUUUCUCUCUUAGCCAGGAAAUCAAAUCACUCUCAUGUUUCCUUGUUAGAUUUAUCAUCAGCACAGAGAGCCUCUGCUGAGUUAAAAACAAUACACUUCAUCAUAAAUUGGUAUGAUAGCAUGGUAACUACUUCCUAUUCUGGGCUCAAAGCCAGCAGGAAUAAAUCACUUCUAGUAGGCGUGACCACGUCAGAGCAGCGAGAAGAGAUGUUUCUGUAAUGUCGUUUAAAAAAAGAUUAGAUAUUUACACUGGCACCCAAGUGUUUAUCUAAUUAUACAGUAUGCUUUAACAGGCUCAUAUUAGACACCUGAAAUAACAGUAAUCCAAAGGCAUGCUGAAGAGGAGUGAGGCUGGAGUGUAACUUUGAAAAGUACAAAGUUAUUUAUUUUAGUGUAAGAACUCAGAAACCAUCCUUUAACCAAAGACUGAAACCUCUGCAUAGUGGGCGCCUGUUCAUGCAGUUACUUUUACACCUUUGCAUGCAACCAUUUGGUAUUUUUACUUAUGUGAAUCAAAUUUUAUAAGAGUUGCUUCAAUAAUGCAAAACUUAAAAAGUUUGAGUCUUGGUAAAGUCAAAGUUUAAACUCUUGAAAGUCAUCCCAAGUACUUCAUUGUUCAGUGUCUUGGAAAUCUCUGAUCCCAUCAGUAAACGUCUCCUCACAGUCAAAGCAACAUCCAACUUUUCUUGGCUUCUUGAGUAGACAGCAGUGAGCAGUGCUGGGCUUCUGAUCAGGACUUGGACUUUGUUAACAGUCAAACUGGCAUUUGAAGGAGCAAGACUGGAGCUGGUUUAAAGAAACAACCUCAGCACGGAUAGUAAGCUUUCUUUGCACAGAAGUUUAUCUGUGUGCUCGACUGAAAUGACUUAAAUGACCUUUGAUGACUGAUGAGAUCUACAUCUAUUGCUCUUCACACAAUCUGCUUUUUUGUGUACAAACGCAUCGACAGUUGACACACUCUCACAAACUUACGCCGUUAUCUGAAGAGUUUUCAUGUUAAACAUCAUCUUGACAUCAUCUUAAAAAAGUUAAUCUUUAAAGUGUAAUUCACGCUAAAGAAACUGAGGGACGAGUCUCCAUCUGUCCAAGAGGAUGAGAUACUGAGGUUGAUGUACGGACAAGGAGAUAUAUAUAGUAGACAGACACAGCAGAUCGGUUUCCUUUGCCCUCACUCAGCUCUGCAUUCUGUCUCUUCACUGGAGAGCUUUACAUAUCCGAGGAGUCCCUUGUGGCCUAAAAACCACAGGACUUCUUCUUCUCUGUGCACUCAGACUUCCUCUCUGAACAGCUGGCUCUCUGGCUGAGAGCCGUCGAGCUGGAGAGGGCUGAGCCGUGUUUCCUCCUGGCAGUGAUAGAGCUGCUCUCCAGAACGCUCUCCCCCCAGUGCAGGAUGCUUCUCGCUGUGUUUGGGAGCCCAGGAGGUGGGCAUCACAUCUGGUCCUGCGCUGUGCAGAGGCAGUCAGAGAGAAGUAAAUUCUCUUAAUGACCACAGGCUGGCCGUCAGCCCGGUCUGCUGCAGCCGGGUGUGGAGCUGGACUCCUGCUCUGGUGGAGAGAGAAAUCUGAAGAUGGAGAACUUUUGAUGAAAUCUGAAACCUUGAAAACAUUGCAAACUCAGGCUGAAUGGAAAUGAGGAGAGCUUGAAACCGAACAUGGUGCUGCAUGUUUCUCUGCAUUGUCAGAUCUUUCUCUUUGCUGGUUCUGUUCUCCAAGGUCACAGUGUGCUCAGAAAGCAGCUGUGUCCGGAUGUGCCGCCGGUCAGAUUAUUGAUGAUUGCAGAAGGUCCACAGCGGAUCCAUUAAUAAGUAAUUUCCACAUCAUACUUUUAAAUGCUGUUUCAUGUAAACUUUUGCCAUGGAGCUGGAUUACACUCUAUUUUAAAUCCUUAAUAUUCCUGUUUUCACAUGUGCGUAUCUGUUGGACUUAUGCAGAGAUGCCCUAAAUAGAGCUCAAAUUGUUCUUAUAAAAUUGGACUAUCUGAAAAUCCCCUAUACAACUUUUCUUUUCAAAAUAAAAUGGUGCAAUUCAACAUGAUGCAAUCAGAUGAAGACUCGCAGAUCACAACUGGACAUAUUUCAGUCAGUGGUGCUGAACACAACCGGGAUUUAAACAUCGCUUCCUGCUGAGGGACACACCAAUACCUUCCAGUUAAUACACAUCUUUAUUACCUGACUCUAAUUGGUCAAAACCUUGUAAUAAUAGUAUUAAUUCUCAACACCAUGGACAAUCUGGAAACACAUGUCAUGUGAACAAAAUCUGUGUAAAUGAGUCCGACAUGUUCCACCUACGUUAGCCCCUGAUGGCAUUUUUAAGUCACUAAAUAUCACAGUGAAAUCAUCAGUUUCUGUCACAGGCUGAUCAUCAGAGUCUGGAAAUAAUGACAGUUUGUUGGCACAGAUGUUUGGCUUGAGGAGUUAUUAGGCUUCAACCAACCAACCAAAAAACCAACUGUUGGCAGAAGUGAGUAACGUCCUGUCCUGCAAUUCAUGCAACGGCAGGAGGGCUGGUUAGUGUAGCUCCAUAGUUACUUGUGACUAAAACCAUGAGCAGCAGUAAUGAUAGCAUCAGUGUUAAAACAUUGUGAUAUUUGUGUUCAAAGGUGAGUCAACUGCAAAGCUCUGAAGAAAAAUAUAAAGUGAGAUUCAAGGAAAGUUUUAGAUUAAAGUCAGUGGAACGAGCAGAAAGGUGAGAAGCUUUUUAAUAGGUGCUCUUUUUAAGUCAUGAGGUUCAGAAUCAGACACAACCUUUCUUUAGUGUGCAAAAAACUGUUCUGGUGUGACCGAAACAAACACAGAGCUGUGUGUCUGUGAGGUUUUGCUCUGACAGCUCUGAUAUUUCCCUCCUAAUCUGACAGACUCUGACAGGAGACGCGUAGAAGCUGUUGAAGACGACCUUUAGCUUUAACUUUCGGACUUUUCUUCCUUCUCGGGUCGACCUUGAGAAGUCCUCCCUCUGCUGCCUUUUUGCAGCACACUGAGCAGUAAAAGGACAGACGGGGUGCAUGCUAAGUGGAGGUGGUGGCUCCUGUCAUGGCCGACCUGGGUGCUAUCAGCAAGGGAUCAGUCGGCUGUGUCUGGAUGACAGGGCUCUGCCGGCGUUUCUGUCACUGCUGAGCGUCCCCAGGCGUCCCGCAGACUCUGUGUCAUGGCAGCUGGCUCAGCAUGACAAGGGGAAGGCUGGAGGAAGAGAGGAGUCAGCAUCUUAAACCACAUCCUGUGGAGCUGCUGCCGCCAAGAUAAUCACCCAGAUAUGUAUUUAAUGGCUCUCUUAUUUAUGCUGAAAGGACUGCUCUUUUCAUCAUCCGCUGCUGUAAGAGGGCCUCAGAGAUGGCGAUGUCCUUUGAUUAGUUAGUCCGUCUCAGACUGGGCAGACUUUGUGCAAACAGUCCAGCUCCUUGUAAAGAUAUUUACAUUUACAUACGGACGUGCAUGCUUUGGAACCAAGUGGGUACACUCUGCAUACAUUUAUAAAGCGGAGGAAAUGUCCCAACAGCUGUUUUGUUUUGAUAUUCAUGAUUCAUAAAGGAUGAACUGUACUGACAUUUAUGAGCGAUGAAAUGGCCAUUAGUUUCCAGGAUAUGAAAAUGUGUAGUUCUGAGGAAAAUGUCUUAAUAGUGAAUGAAAUGUCAUGGCACACACAUUCAUGCCUCCUCUAAAGAU
rnacentral:lncRNA from 1 species